UAGGGAAUCUUCCGCAAUGGACGAAAGUCUGACGGAGCAACGCCGCGUGAGCGAUGAAGGCCUUCGGGUCGUAAAGCUCUGUUGUUAGGGAAGAACAAGUACCGGAGUAACUGCCGGUACCUUGACGGUACCUAACCAGAAAGCCACGGCUAACUACGUGCCAGCAGCCGCGGUAAUACGUAGGUGGCAAGCGUUGUCCGGAAUUAUUGGGCGUAAAGCGCGCGCAGGCGGUCCUUUAAGUCUGAUGUGAAAGCCCACGGCUCAACCGUGGAGGGUCAUUGGAAACUGGGGGACUUGAGUACAGAAGAGGAAAGUGGAAUUCCACGUGUAGCGGUGAAAUGCGUAGAGAUGUGGAGGAACACCAGUGGCGAAGGCGACUUUCUGGUCUGUAACUGACGCUGAGGCGCGAAAGCGUGGGGAGCAAACAGGAUUAGAUACCCUGGUAGUCCACGCCGUAAACGAUGAGUGCUAAGUGUUAGAGGGUUUCCGCCCUUUAGUGCUGCAGCAAACGCUAA
rnacentral:rRNA from 1 species